AUGGAAGUCGAUAUGUAGCACUACUGAUAGUUUGAGGUUAUUGUGAAGCGAAGCGAUUUUAACUAGCGCGUAACAGAGUUGUAACCAAAGAAACAGGGAGGAAGGAGAAAAGGAGAUAAAAGUGAAGGUCAGGUCAAGACAGAUAGCUAAACAGAAAGAAGAUAUUAAAAAUGACAAUAUAUUCGCCAUUCACCUGCACAAAGUUAUUUUACAUACAAUACUGAUGCUAGACAUUUACAAGAGGAAGGAAAGUUAAUUCAAAAGGCAAUAAGAUAUACACUGUAAGAGCAUGACUUGUUAGGUAUAUACGGUUAGUAAGAUUGUGAUGGUGGUAUGUGAUUUCAGGGAGUAGUGAGUAAUUUGGUGAUUCUAUUUGUCUGUAACUUUGGAUGCCAUUGCCAUUGUUAAGGGUGGCAAUGGCAGAACAGUAUUUAGUGAUUCAUCGGAUAUUAAAGUAGCCUCUAGGAAUGUUGUUAAGCGAGUGUUAAAUUGGCUUAGUCUGUAUGUUAUAGAUAGCCAUCGGAGGAGGAGAGAGAUGGGAUGCAGCGUGCUAAGACCUUUUCUCGUUUUCCAUCAUACUGUUAAAAGUCUGGUAUCAGAAAGCACAAAUUCCUGCUCAUUAAGACUGGCAUACCUUUGAUUAGUGACCCAGGUGUGCAUUCUUUACCUGGGCAGCACAAAAUGGAGCUUGAGGCAGUGUGGGCAGAGUUAUGAGAUCAGUUAAGUGGUCAUUGCGAGCCUUUAUAAGUGUAAGCAACUUCAUUUGGCAUAACAGAGAGUAUACAGUCUUGUCAAGGAAGGAAUUUUGCAGUGGUAAUAUUAGUAAAAACUGUGAUUACUUCAUUGAGUCCAUUUUAUUCUUUAUCUGUUUACAGUAGAGGAAGCAGCUCAAGGGCGGAAACUAAUAAGUCUAAGUGCUUCUCCUGUAAAAGUAGUAAACAGAAUCGUGUAGCCAAAAGAGAGGGUUGAUAUUUGGAUAGAAAGUUGUCAAUAUACUACGUACUUGAUACCGUACUACUAAAACAAGCCUCACAAAUAUGCUGCACGACGAACAGGUCACUCAAUAAUAAUACUUACCUCUCUCAGAACACUCCUUGUAUAUAUAAUUAACAGGUUUUCUACUUAAUGUCCUUCUGUGUGUGUAUGUGUGUUUGGGUGUUCGUGUUCUUAGGGCAUAGCUAGAAUGAUUUUAUAUGUACGGAAAAACAAAUCAUCUAUCAUGCUUUUUUACCAACAAGGUGCCAUUAUCUAUCUAUCAGAGGUCUAUUUUUUCUAUAAUGGCAUUCAGGUUUGUAUUCUGGCCAUGUUCAUUCAGCUUUAUUCAGAUACGUACUUAUAAAAGUCUUGGGAAAUUCAAUGCAGAUUUAAAUAGGGGGAAUUAUUUUUACAUGUAGAAAUAGUAGCAAAAAUCAGUUAGAGAUGGUUGAAGGAAUUAUUGAAUGGUAUGGAGUUUGGACUGAGAGGAGGAAAAUCAGGAAUAUCUUUGUAAAUUCAAUGCAGUUUUAAAUAGGGGAAUUAUUUUUACAUGUAGAAGUAGAAACAAAAAUCAGUUAGAGAUGGUUGAAGGAAUUAUUGAAUGGUAUGGAGUUUGGACUGAGAUAAGGAAAAUCAGGAAUAUCUUUGUUAAUUCAAUGCAAUUUUAAAUAUGGGAAUUAUUUUUACAUGUAGAAGUAGAAACAAAAAUCAGAGCUGGGUGAAGGAAUAAUUAUUGAAUGGUGUAGAGUUUUGAUUGAGAGGAGAAGGAACAUCAGGGAGACCUUAGUAAAUUCAAUGCAGUUUUAAAUAUGGGAAUUAUUUUUACAUGUAGAAGUAGUAGCAAAAAUCAGUUAGAGAUGGCUGAAGUAAUUACUGAAUGGUGUGAAAUUUGGUCUAAGACUAGGAGAACAGAUGAACCUAAGAACAUCACUAAAAUCAGGAAAAUCUUAGUACAAUCAAUGCAGUUUUGAAUAGGGGACUUAUUUUAUACAUAUAGAGGUAGCUCAAAUCAAGACUGGGUGAAGUAAGUGAAGGGAAUUGAGUCCCUUUGAGAGGAAAAGGAUAUGAACCUGAGGAUUUCUCUAAACUCCUUUCCAUCUUAACUUUUAUAUCCUUUAUGAUUGUGUUCAGCUAGCAAUAUGUAUACUUGUUACCCCAAACUCUGUGCUGCAUUGUUAUAUUAUUACUACAUAGCUGAUCUUGAAGGGGAGGGACUGCAUUAGUGUGUGCGUGUGGGUGUGGGUGUGAUACGAGAUCGCACAAAAGGACAUGGAAAGAUUAGUACGUCAAAGAGUAAUUACUUUCAGGUUGUUUUAUUUUCUUCACUGAUGUUUAGGUUGAAGUUCCUCCCUUUGAGACACUAUUUGAUAUGGAGUUUUAAGAUAUCACAAAUUUUUUAUCUAAUUGUAUACCUGUCUUAAUUAUUUCCAAGAGUUAAGAGUGCUACGUUAACGGCUUAAUCCGCGGUGUGCAUGCGUGGGUUAUAUAUAAAGUCACUGAGACCUUAUUUGUAUAUCCAUGCUUUUUAUGAUGCUUUAAUUAACUUACUUUGUACUAUUGCUGUGUUAUGCGGUUCAGAUACAUAUAUUUAUUUCAAACGUGUUAUGAGUGUCCCUUUUUUAUCAUAAGGUUAAUUUGGUCUGGUGGGCGAGGUUGUAUUCGGGUAUGUUGGUUAUAGGAGGAAAGUUACUGUGGAGGAAAUCAAGUUAGUGUGGAGGAAAAUGAGGAAAAUGUGAUCUAUAACUGGAGGAAAAUUACAGUGGAAGAAAGUUGGUAUGAAUCAAGGAAUUACUGAGGAGGGAAAUUAUAGUGUGGAGGAAAAUGAGGAAAAUGUUGAGCUAUAUGACCGGAGGAAAGUUGCUGUAUGUGGAGCUAUAACUGAAAGAAAAUUACUAUAUGGAGGAAAAUUACUGUGGAGGAAAAUUGCUUUGGAGGUAUUAACUGUGGACAAAAAUUAUUAUGGAGGUAUUAGAGAGGACGAAAAUUAAUAUGGAGAUAGUGAUUGAACAGAAUAAUAGAUAGAAUAGAAGAAGAGGAAAAUAAUUUAGGGUAGGCGGUGGCUGAACUGGUAGCGUACUGGGCCCACAUUCACCGCGUGAUGGACGACGCGGGUUCGACUCCCCGCGCUACCACCUCGGAUUUUUCAGUCACCGCCGAGUGGCAUAAAACUACCCACAUGCUGUCCUGAAGACCACCCAUCAACCCGGACUCUAGAGGAAGCCGUCCAAGCGAAUCAAGAACGAGUUCCGGGGGGCAGCAUGAGCCAAUGCAAGAUGGCGCCACUAUAAACACUCGCCUGCGCCAGAACGGGCUGGGCCGACCAUCAGGCCCCACCUGGAAGAAGCCUUGGGCCGACCAUCAGGCCCCACCGGGAAGAUGCCUACUGGCGCAAUAGGCAGCAACGUAAAAAAAUAAAAAAUAAAAAAUAAA